GACGAACGCUGGCGGCGUGCCUAAUACAUGCAAGUAGAACGCUGAAGAGAGGAGCUUGCUCUUCUUGGAUGAGUUGCGAACGGGUGAGUAACGCGUAGGUAACCUGCCUUGUAGCGGGGGAUAACUAUUGGAAACGAUAGCUAAUACCGCAUAACAAUAGGUGACACAUGUCAUUUAUUUGAAAGGGGCAAUUGCUCCACUACAAGAUGGACCUGCGUUGUAUUAGCUAGUAGGUGAGGUAACGGCUCACCUAGGCGACGAUACAUAGCCGACCUGAGAGGGUGAUCGGCCACACUGGGACUGCGACACGGCCCAGACUCCUACGGGAGGCAGCAGUAGGGAAUCUUCGGCAAUGGGGGCAAACCUGACCGAGAAACGCCGCGUGAGUGAAGAAGGUUUUCGGAUCGUAAAGCUCUGUCGUAAGUCAAGAACGAGUGUGAGAGUGGAAAGUUCACACUGUGACGGUAGCUUACAAGAAAGGGACGGCUAACUACGUG
rnacentral:rRNA from 1 species